UACGAAGGGGGCUAGCGUUGUUCGGAUUUACUGGGCGUAAAGCGCACGUAGGCGGAUCGGUAAGUCGGGGGUGAAAUCCUGGAGCUCAACUCCAGAACUGCCUUCGAUACUGGGGAUCUUGAGUCCGGGAGAGGUGAGUGGAACUCCUAGUGUAGAGGUGAAAUUCGUAGAUAUUAGGAAGAACACCAGUGGCGAAGGCGGCUCACUGGUCCGGUACUGACGCUGAGGUGCGAAAGCGUGGGGAGCAAACAGG
rnacentral:rRNA from 1 species